rnacentral:rRNA from 1 species
GUGGGGAAUCUUGCGCAAUGGGCGAAAGCCUGACGCAGCCAUGCCGCGUGAAUGAUGAAGGUCUUAGGAUUGUAAAAUUCUUUCACCGGGGACGAUAAUGACGGUACCCGGAGAAGAAGCCCCGGCUAACUUCGUGCCAGCAGCCGCGGUAAUACGAAGGGGGCUAGCGUUGCCCGGAAUUACUGGGCGUAAAGGGCGCGUAGGCGGACAGUUUAGUCAGAGGUGAAAGCCCAGGGCGCAACCUUGGAAUUGCCUUUGAUACUGGCUGUCUUGAGUACGGGAGAGGUGAGUGGAACUCCGAGUGUAGAGGUGAAAUUCGUAGAUAUUCGGAAGAACACCAGUGGCGAAGGCGACUCACUGGCCCGUUACUGACGCUGAGGCGCGAAAGCGUGGGGAGCAAACAGGAUUAGAUACCCGGGUAGUCC